GAGACACCUCAGGUUCUGACAUUUGGUGGAUGUGCUUGGCUGAGGAGUCAAUGGUGCAAAGCUUCCAUCUGCGGGCUUAUGGCAUGAA